UACGUAGGGGGCUAGCGUUGUCCGGAUUUAUUGGGCGUAAAGAGCGUGUAGGCGGCCAGGUAGGUCUGGUGUGAAAACUCGAGGCUUAACCUCGAGAUGUCAUCGGAAACCAUCUGGCUAGAGUCCGGAAGAGGAGAGUGGAAUUCCUGGUGUAGCGGUGAAAAUGCGCAGAUAUCAGGAGGAACACCGGUGGCGAAGGCGGGUCUCUGGGGCAACAACUGACGUGAGGAGCGAAAAGCGUGGGGGAGCGAAACAGGG
rnacentral:rRNA from 1 species